GAUGAAGAACGCAGCGAAAUGCGAUAAGUAAUGUGAAUUGCAGAAUUCAGUGAAUCAUCGAAUCUUUGAACGCACAUUGCGCCCGCCAGUAUUCUGGCGGGCAUGCCUGUUCGAGCGUCAUUACAACCCUCAGGCCCCCGGGCCUGGCGUUGGGGAUCGGCGGAAGCCCCCUGCGGGCACAACGCCGUCCCCCAAAUACAGUGGCGGUCCCGCCGCAGCUUCCAUUGCGUAGUAGCUAACACCUCGCAACUGGAGAGCGGCGCGGCCACGCCGCAAAACACCCAACUUCUGAAUGUUGACCUCGAAUCAGGUAGGAAUACCCGCUGAACUUAAGCAUAUCAAUAAGCGGAGGA
rnacentral:misc_RNA from 1 species